rnacentral:rRNA from 1 species
GAUGAACGCUGGCGGCGUGCCUAAUACAUGCAAGUCGAGCGAACAGACGAGGAGCUUGCUCCUCUGACGUUAGCGGCGGACGGGUGAGUAACACGUGGAUAACCUACCUAUAAGACUGGGAUAACUUCGGGAAACCGGAGCUAAUACCGGAUAACAUGUUGAACCGCAUGGUUCAACAGUGAAAGACGGUCUUGCUGUCACUUAUAGAUGGAUCCGCGCCGCAUUAGCUAGUUGGUAAGGCAACGGCUUACCAAGGCAACGAUGCGUAGCCGACCUGAGAGGGUGAUCGGCCACACUGGAACUGAGACACGGUCCAGACUCCUACGGGAGGCAGCAGUAGGGAAUCUUCCGCAAUGGGCGAAAGCCUGACGGAGCAACGCCGCGUGAGUGAAGAAGGUCUUCGGAUCGUAAAACUCUGUUAUUAGGGAAGAACAAAUGUGUAAGUAACUAUGCACGUCUUGACGGUACCUAAUCAGAAAGCCACGGCUAACUACGUG